rnacentral:lncRNA from 1 species
GUCUUGUAGGGAUCCACGAUAGAAGGAUUGUAUCACAUGAUAAUUGCACCUAAAGGUUCACCAUUCUAUUCUGCUGGGUAGCCACUACAUGCUGCUAGGUGUCACUGGUGGAUGGUGGGACUCACAGGGAUUAUCUCGAUGAUCGAUUAACCCUAAUGAGUAGAGUUGGAAUCAUUCCAAUCCAUUGAAAGGAGUUUUCAAUGAUAUUGUGAUAGAGAUCACAAUAUAUCUCACUACCAGUCAGAAUAGAACCUAUGGGGUCACACACACUAGAAGUAUUGACCGAUCCGAUGGUUGGAAAGUGAUUAUGAAUCACGAGUAAUCAAUUCGAUUGAUAAUAAGUUGAAGAAGGAAUGGAAAUUGAUUAAUUAGACUUAAAACACGAAUCCUACUUCGAGUAGGAUUUUUAGAGUCCUAAUUGGAUUAGGACUGGAAAUCCUAAUUGGAGUAGGACUGGGAUUCCUACUUGGAGUAGGAUUCCUACAAUCUAAUUAUAUUAGGAGAUUUGAAUUAAAAUUGGAUUCCUACUUGGAAUAGGAUUCCUAGAGUCCUAAUCGGAUUAGGACUUCGGAUUCAAAUUAGAGUCCUAGUUGGAUUAGGACUAAAAUUAAAUAAGUCCUAAUUGGAUUAGGAUUUCUUAAGUCCUAAUUAAUUACUAAUCUAAUGAAUCAACAUGACUCCUAAUUGGGUUAGGAUUGAAGAGUUCAAUUGAGUCAUGGUUCAUUCAAGUUCUAAUUGGAUUAGGACUAGUAUGGAUUGAACCCAAUUGAUUCAUGAUUUGGUUAAUCCUAAUUAGAUUAGGACUAAACCAUGAGAAGGACACCUAAUUAACCAAGUAAGAGGGGCAUAAGCCCCUCUCCUCUUGGUUGGUGCAGCAUGAAGAGAGGGAGCCGGCGCCCCCUCUUGGAAAUAAGUCAAGGGCUCCUAACUUGUAGGAGCCCUUCAUGACUUUAAAAAGGGAGGUGGGCGGCUGACCUAGGGCAUCAUUAGAAGCCCU